CAGCAACCGAGUUUCAGUCCGCUUACCGGUGGGAGGGCGAGCUUCACGGCAUCGACUUCAACCCGCACAGCGGAGAGAGGCAUCGGGUCAGGCUUGGCAGUGAAUGUACAAUAGGACCCGACGAUCUCCACAUCGGAGUCGUCUGAGCUGACAUUGAUCACAUCAUCCAUUUCUCUUCAGUCAUUCAAAUUCAGCAGCCAAUGCACAAAAGCAUCACCUAAGGCAGACCCGUGACGGUCAGGGCAGUCCUAAACAGCCAUGAGCUUCCGCCGUAGAUGUCUCAUUCCGAUCAUGUUUUGUAGAAAACACAAAAUAACUCCUCCAGUGAGGCGUGCAACCUUCGGCAUUUCCUUGUUGAGAUCGUAGAUUACAUGCGUCGUGUUCGGCAGCUUUUCUUCUAUGACCGUGGUGGGUCACAACAAGCGCCAUACUUGAAAUGAUCUCCACCUGCUGUACUGGAGUGCAACCUGCCUGCGCAGAUUCUGCCUGUCCUCAAAGAAAAUUAAGGACAGACAGAGAUACUAAAGACAGACGAACACAUUCAAAAUGCACCUUAAUUCCUAAAGUGUGGCUGGUUACAGCCAAAGGCAACGGAAACGAGAGGCCAAACGUGUCUUUGGACUAUCCACCUCACACGAUCAUUUUCUAAUUUAUAUUUAAAUUACACUUUAAAUGUG